AGGAUCCUACGGGGGGCAGCAGUGAGGGAUAUUGGUCAAUGGGGGAAACCCUGAACCAGCAACGCCGCGUGAGGGAAGACGGUUUUCGGAUUGUAAACCUCUGUCCUCUGUGAAGAUAAUGACGGUAGCAGAGGAGGAAGCUCCGGCUAACUACGUGCCAGCAGCCGCGGUAAUACGUAGGGAGCGAGCGUUGUCCGGAUUUACUGGGUGUAAAGGGUGCGUAGGCGGGUAAGCAAGUCAGAAGUGAAAUCCAUGGGCUUAACCCAUGAACUGCUUUUUAAACUGUGCGGCUCGAGUGCGGGAGG
rnacentral:rRNA from 1 species